GCUGGGCAUGGUGGCACAUGCCUGUAGUCCCGGUUACUUGGGAGGCUGAGGCAGGAGGAUCUCUUGAGUCCAGAAAUUCUGGACUAUGGUGCACUGUGCCAAUCAGGUGUCCACAGUAAGUUCAGCAUCAAUAUGGUGACCUCCAGAGAGCAUCAGGCCACCAGGUUGCCCAGUGAGGGAUGAACCGGCCCAGGUCAGAAACAGCAUAGGUUAAACUCACAUGCUGAACAGUAGUGGGAUUGUGCUUGUGAAUAGCCACUGUACUCUAGCAUGCACAACGCGUUGAGUCCCUGCCUCU
rnacentral:SRP_RNA from 1 species